GAAAUGCGAUAAGUAGUGUGAAUUGCAGAAUUCAGUGAAUCAUCGAAUCUUUGAACGCACAUUGCGCCCUCUGGUAUUCCGGGGGGCAUGCCUGUUCGAGCGUCAUUACAACCCUCAAGCUUUGCUUGGUAUUGGAAAGGUUGUGGAGUUCGGCCUGAACAACACCUUCAAUUUCUAAGGUUUGACCUCAGAUCAGACAAGGAUACCCGCUGAACUUAA
rnacentral:misc_RNA from 1 species